rnacentral:rRNA from 1 species
CACGGGGGGAGCAAGCGUUGUUCGGAAUCACUGGGCGUAAAGGGCGUGUAGGCGGUCAGGUAAGUGUGAUGUGAAAUCCCUCGGCUCACCCGAGGACCGGCAUCGCAUACUGCUUGGCUUGAGUACGGGAGAGGAUGUGGGAAUUCCUGGUGUAGCGGUGAAAUGCGUAGAUAUCGGAAGGAACAUCAGUGGCGAAAGCGGCUUCCUGGACCAGCACCGACGUCAGGCACGAAAGCGUGGGGAGCAAACAGG